GUGAGGAAUAUUGGACAAUGGGGGAAACCCUGAUCCAGCCAUGCCGCGUGAGUGAUGAAGGCCUUCGGGUUGUAAAGCUCUUUAGCCGAUGAUUAUAAUGACUGUAGUCGGAAAAUAAGCCCCGGCUAACUUCGUGCCAGCAGCCGCGGUAAUACGAAGGGGGCGAGCGUUAUUCGGAAUCACUGGGCGUAAAGCGUGCGUAGGCGGCUUUGCAAGUUGGGAGUGAAAGCCCAGGGCUCAACCCUGGAAUUGCUCUCAAAACUGCAAGGCUCGAAUUCGGGAGAGGAUAGCGGAAUUGUCAGUGUAGCAGUGAAAUGCGUAGAUAUUGACAGGAACACCAGUGGCGUAAGCGGCUAUCUGGACCGAUAUUGACGCUGAGGCACGAAAGCGUGGGGAUCAAACAGGAUUAGAAACCCGGGUAGUCC
rnacentral:rRNA from 1 species